rnacentral:rRNA from 1 species
GAUGAACGCUGGCGGCGUGCCUAAUACAUGCAAGUCGAGCGAACAGACGAGGAGCUUGCUCCUCUGACGUUAGCGGCGGACGGGUGAGUAACACGUGGGUAACCUACCUAUAAGACUGGGAUAACUUCGGGAAACCGGAGCUAAUACCGGAUAAUAUAUUGAACCGCAUGGUUCAUUAGUGAAAGACGGUUUUGCUGUCACUUAUAGAUGGAUCCGCGCCGCAUUAGCUAGUUGGUAAGGUAACGGCUUACCAAGGCAACGAUGCGUAGCCGACCUGAGAGGGUGAUCGGCCACACUGGAACUGAGACACGGUCCAGACUCCUACGGGAGGCAGCAGUAGGGAAUCUUCCGCAAUGGGCGAAAGCUUGACGGAGCAACGCCGCGUGAGUGAUGAAGGUCUUCGGAUCGUAAAACUCUGUUAUUAGGGAAGAACAAAUGUGUAAGUAACUAUGCACGUCUUGACGGUACCUAAUCAGAAAGCCACGGCUAACUACGUG